UGUUUUUAUUUUUUCUGUUUGUUUGUGUUUUGCUAGGGUUUUGCUUUUUUAUUUCUCAGUUUUUCAGUUGAUAAUGGUGAUUUUUGAUUUGCAGAAUUCUCACUAUGUUGACGAUGGAUCAACGCAUGCGAUGAUUCUGUUUAAUAUUCUCUUUUAUGGUAUUUGUGGCUGGAAAAACUCAAGAUAGCCUUUUCCUUCAAAAACAGCUCAUAGGUUUUUUGUUCCAAUAACUGAUGAUGCAGACACGCAACAUAUGGAUCUGAUAAAAAAAAUUUUUUGUUUGUUUUCUAUUUUUAUUUUUAUUUUCUUUUAUGGUCUCUGCAAUGUUCCAUUAUCAGUACUAGACUCAAGAGAAAAAAACUAAAAGUCCCCUGAUCAACUCCUAGAUCCCCGGAAACCAGCAUUUUACCUGUACCAAAUGUGCAAGUUUCUUCUCUUACCGUGCUCCGGUGAGAACAUUAUAAUCCAAACAUCAAAUGGUCCAGUUUCUUCUUCUUACCUCAUACGAUGAGAAAUGAGGACAAUAUAAUCAAAGAUCAGCAGAAGAAGUAUUUAUAAGAGAAUAAGACAUGGAAUAAUUCUAUAUUUUGUCGUUGAUGUUGAAGAUUGUUUACGCGGUGCGAUGUUUUACGGUAGUGCGAUGUUUUGUGGUUAUACAUGAUGAAGAAAUAUUCACGAUCUUGAUUCCACAAGCGUGUAUUGGUGUUGAUGGCUGCGUCAACGGGAGGUCAUGAGGAUCGAUAAUAUUUUUUGGAGCUUCGUGGUGAUGAGAAUUGAUUUAUGCAUGCAAGGUAUAAAAUAGUGAAAUUAUCUUUUUUAGCGUUCUUAGGAUUUUUUUUGUUGAUUUUCUAUGUUGUAGUUGUUGGUGAUGCUGUUAUGCGAGUACAACUGAACUAGGUGCUCUAACUUCUUAAUUUAGGUUCUUAGUUAUCGGGUUAGAUAUCAAGGAGUUCGAUUAUAUUUAUGUUUCAGGUUGUAAACUCUAUAUGGCACCAUGAACUAAUACUUGAUCCGUGUUGGGUGCAAAAUUACCAAAAAAAAGAAGAGGGAGGAUACCGCAAUCUUUAGAGCCACUAAUUAUUGUUGUAGAACAUUGCUGAUAACUGCAUUCCUCGAGUGUUUGAUUUACCAUCCAUUAAAUUAAACUUAUAGGUUAGCGACGCUUUUUUGUUGAUAACAUCUGCGCGUUUGAAUGGUUUUGUGAUGUGGGUUAAAUUUUACUUUUCGUAAAUGCGUAAGACAUCAGAUUCCCAUCAAAUAAAACUGAACGGGGAAUUUUGAAAAGAAUUUUGUGUCCAUUUUGUUUGUUAAUCUUAGUCGCGUGUUCUUUUGAAAAGAUUCUUGAUCCAUGCAUGAUUAGUACGGUGAUAAUUGCGUGUAUUUAACCUGGAAGUCAUUUUUUCAUUUUUACUUUGGCCUCUAAAAUCCAAGCUUAGAAGGAUAAGAACUGGAACGGUGUAACCUUCAAUCCAUUUUUGGAGCUUCAAUGAAUACUAUACACUCUAAAUACGUUGUAUUUCUAAUUUAUUUGCAUAGAACAUAAAAGUUGCAUCAUUUAUCAAGGCCUGCAGAGCAUGAUACCAAGUGUAAAUACCAUCAUUUAAUCAUAGACGAUACCAGAUGACGAUACCUAGUGCAUAUGCUCCUAAUACGGUAGUUUCAAGGAAAAAGUGCCAUUUAUCCACCACAGAUGAGAACAUGGGGAACUUAAAUUUAGCUAUGGGUCAAUUUAAAUGGGUCAAUUCUAUCGGAUUGUCUGUAUCUGUACAGAAAGAUUUUUGAAUUUUAGAAAGUGCUCAUAAGGUCUGAACUUUAUCGAGAAAUUAGUUAGUGCACUUGCACGGGAUGUACAUGUGCGCAUAUUGGUGCUUGACAGCGUGUUGCUGGGAUUUUUUCAAGUGCGCUUGCUUGGGUUAUGGAUUUUUCUACAAAAAUGUAACAAAUAUC